rnacentral:lncRNA from 1 species
UCCCCAGCCUGGUGUGAGGAUGUGGCACUCACUGAUCAGGAGACUCUCACCCAAGAUUUGCUGAAUCACUGGCUCUCCCUGAUCCACUCUGCCAGGGAAGGGAGUGCAGGAGUUUUUGUGUGGGAAUUACCAGGGAAAACCCUCUAAGAAGGAUAAAAAUAAUGAUGUGUAGCUGAGAAUUGUUUAAAAUCUCAGAGCUGGCAGCUGUGGCACCAUGCAGAGGUGAAAAGUGAAGUGACAGGAAGCAGAUGUUUAAGUUCAACAGCAUUAACAAAGCUCCUGAAGUCUGAGGAUAAGUGGAUGCUUAAAACCCAUGGAACUGCAUCAGAUGGAGGCCCAGAGCUGAAGUUAAGCAGAUGUUUUGGGGAGCAGGGCUGGACGGCUGCUGAUGGCACAGCACAAGAAUUAAACCUGCUUUUCUCACCCCAGGCCACACUGAGAAACCAGUGA